AGUAGUGUUGCUCAGUGGUAGGGUGUUUGCCUAGAAUGCAGGAGGCUCUGGAUACCAUCUACAGCAUCACAA
rnacentral:tRNA from 1 species